AAAUUCGGAGCAUUCUGAAAUAAUAAACAAUUAUUUAAAGCGCGCGCGUUUCAAUGAACUGUCAAGCCCGCCAAUGACAUGUCGGCGGCUUGACGUCAAGCGUUGGUGUUUGGGGGAUGAAAAAACGUUCCUUAGUUUUUAAUACGGGUUGUGUUUUGUGGGUGUUUAGUGCGAAACAUUACCGAAAAAGUGAUAGUUAUCGAACGAAUUUCCAGAAAUGCUGCUUUUGAAGACGACCCUACACCAUAGAUUUUAAGAUGAGACAUCGUGGUUGGUCUUCAAAAUUACAAGUUUGUUUAAUUUACACAUUGAAUCCUCUGGCGAGUAAUUAAAAUAAUUACAGUGAUAAUAAAGUGACCGAAUUUGAGAAAUAAUUAAAUGAAAUAACUGGCGGUUGCUGCACGUGAAUGAUACAUAAAUUAACUGAAAUUAUGUUGUUUACUAACACUAAUCUACAGUGAAAUAGACGAUAAUAGAAAAUUAAAAAGUUCUUAUCUUUGUUGUGUUUGCAUAAAUAGUAUAGUGGAAUUUUGAAAGCAAAUUACUCCAAAAAAAAAAAAGAUGAAUGAAGGAUAUUGUGGAGCUAACAUGUACAAAGAAAAAAAGAUAAGAAAACUUUAAAAUAUUAAAAAGAAUCAAGGAAGAAUACGCAUUUUUUUAAUGUAGACAAGAAAUGAAUCUAAAGAGUAUAAAAACAUAGCCAAAUGUAGGAAUAAGGAGAAAUCAAGAAAAGAAAGAAAAAAAUCAAAAAAUGAAUACAAAAAUAUUAGAAGCUAGAAAAGUGUGGAAAAUAAUAGGGAAAAAUCAGUAGAUAUGUCUAGAACACAAAUAAAAAAUCUAACGAAUAAUUUAGAACAGAAUCUAUAGAAGAAUCUAAAAAAUAAAGAAGAAACAAAUCUAAUAGAAAAUUUGUGAAAGAUUUUAGAAAAGAUUCACCCUAGAAUCUGGAAGAGGAAUUUCUAGAAGAAUUUAGCACUUCAAAGAAAUUUACUUUCUUCACAUUUGGUGAAGAAUAUAGAAAAGAAAAAUCUGUAGAAAAAAAUCGACAUAGAAGAGGAGAUUCUGGCUCUAAAAAAAAUUUGAAGAAUUUAGAAAAAAUUAGAGGUCCGUCUCGAGAAGAAUGAAUUUCAAUAAUCAAACAAAAAUCCAAACAAUAAUUUAGACAAAUAUCAAAAGAAACAUUUGUGAAAAAAGUUUAGAAAAUAAUUAGCUAGGAACGAAUCUACACAGAAAUGUAGAGAAAAAAGGAUCUAGAGGAGGGUGUACUGAAAAUAAUAACAAAGAAUAAUCUAGAGAAAAAUCUACAAAGAGUACAUUUUGGUUAGAGUCUAAAGAAAACCCUGGAAAAGAAUCCAAAAAAAAACAUAGGGUUACGGAAAGAAUUUAGAAAAUCGAAGGAAAACCUAUCUCAGCAGAGUUUAAAUGAAAAAAUCUGGACAGGAAUCUAGAAAACAUAAACAUCUACAAAAAACUAGAAACAUUUUGAGUAAAAUUUGAAGGAAAAUCGGGAGAAGAAUCUAGAAAAUAUCUAGAAGGCAGUCUGUUAAAAAAACAGAAAAAAGUUUCUAAAAUCAAAUGAGAAUCUCAACAAUAAUAUAAUUUAGAAAAAUAUCAAAAGAAAUAUUUGGGGAAGAAUCUAGAAAACAACUAUUUAACAACAAAUUUAUUAAAAAAUGUAGAUAAAAUUUAAGAAGCAAUCAAAAAAAUCCAGAAAUGAAAAGAUUCUGAGUACAGCCUGAAGAAAAAUUUGGAGAAGAAUUUGAAACAAAUUCAAAGGGAAGUCCAUAAAAAAUGUAGAAAAUCUUAGACAAAGCAGAAUAACUUCAAAAAUAAUAAUUUAGAGAAAUAUCGAAAAGAGACAGAUUUAGCAAAAAGUUUAGAAGACGAAUCUACAAUUUAUUUAUUAUUAUUAUUUUAGCUCAUAUUUUCUUCUUUCAAAUUGACGCAACUUAUUUUAUUAUUACUCUUAUAAAAGCAAAAUCAACCAGCAAAAAAAAUAAAAACAUCAUCGUUAAAAGUUACUCGUACAUCAAUAAAUCCAAAAAAAAACAUGUUGUAUUGCAGCUCAUUUAUAAAACACCUGUAUACUUUACCAACUACAAAUUAUUACAGCCAUUUCGUUUUUUCAUAACUUUUAAUAAAACUUAAAAGAGACAAAUCACACCUUCAACAAGUUAUUCCAUUUUCAAAACUUGAUUAAAACCAAACAUU